rnacentral:rRNA from 1 species
UACGUAGGGGGCAAGCGUUAUCCGGAUUCACUGGGCGUAAAGGGAGCGUAGACGGCAUGGCAAGUCUGAUGUGAAAGCUCGGGGCUCAACCCCGGAACUGCAUUGGAAACUGUCAAGCUAGAGUGCAGGAGAGGUAAGUGGAAUUCCUAGUGUAGCGGUGAAAUGCGUAGAUAUUAGGAGGAACACCGGCGGCGAAGGCGGCUUACUGGACUGUAACUGACGUUGAGGCUCGAAAGCGUGGGGAGCAAAC